rnacentral:lncRNA from 1 species
AGAACAAACCUUUCUCCCUGACUUCAGCUCUUCCACCAGGGCCAUAAGCAGCAGUCCUCGUUCCAUGCCAUCUCUGAUGCUGCUUGGGAGCCUCUGCUUCACAGACCCAGUGCUGUUCAUGAAGGAGGUAGUGCCACCACCCAGCAUCCCUCAGCAGUGAUUUACCUCAGUUUUGUGUCAUGAUGCAGUCUGUCUCAGCUCCGAUUCCUGCUCCUUUGGUUCUGCCACAC